rnacentral:misc_RNA from 1 species
GGCAGUUACAAAUGCAACCCUCCAUCCCUCCUCUCAAGCAAUCUGAUUUAAGAAUUCUAUGUUUAUAUCAUUCUCAGGAAUAAUUUAUCAUAGCCAAUUUUUCAGGCUGAUCAAAGGCGUUCUUCACAAAAUUUAGAAGUAAGCUAUCCACCAAAAUGAUGGCCAGCGGCAGAAAUGAGCAAAUUAAAUUCUUUAGAGUUUUUGCGACCACAAACUAAAAAUUGAUGUUCUGAUCCUUAAUGGUUUGGAUUACCAAUAAAGCUAAAGAUAGACACAAUAAUUGAG